AACGAACGCUGGCGGCAGGCCUAACACAUGCAAGUCGAACGCCGUAGCAAUACGGAGUGGCAGACGGGUGAGUAACGCGUGGGAACAUACCCCUCGGUUCGGAAUAACUUAGGGAAACGUUAGAGCUAAUAACCGGGACUACGUCCGGAGGUUUUAACCGGUCCUCGGAGAAAGAUUUAUCGCCGGAGGAUUGGCCCGCGUCUGAUUAGCUUGUUGGUGAGGUAAUGGCUCACCAAGGCGACGAUCAGUAGCGGUCUGAGAGGAUGAUCAGCCACAUUGGGAC
rnacentral:rRNA from 1 species